CCCGCGCCCCCUAUCGAGCUUCUUUCACACACACACAAAAUCACAAAUCAAACGAGCUUGAUCCUCUCUCCUUCAACGAGCUGCUUCUUCUCUCUGUCGCACGAGUUUCUUCUUCUCCUUUCCUCACUCACAGCGCCACCGCCGGCCACCCUAACCACCGGAGCUACCUUCUCAUUCUUCUCAUCUCUUUUAAACACUGAACCAGUAGAACACAGCCCUUGUUUCUCUCGUUCUUUUUCGUUCGCAGAACAAAUCAAGCUCAAACUCUUGUUCUCUUUGUCUCAGGUGAGCUCCAGCACGCGCGGUGCCACCUGUAGCAGCGUCUGCCCCACCACCGCCACACCUCUCUCUCUCUCUCUCUCUCCUUUUAUCCACCCUCAGUUCUGGCUCGCAUAUCUUCUCAGUGCCGCAGCCAUCAUCUCCUACAGUCAAUGCUUCCAGGUACACCAUGGAGCGACCGCGAUUCAGUGAUCAUCUAAAAGCCAUAAAGUUCAUCUGCAAGGAUUUUUGGACUGAGCUCUUUAAGAAGCAAAUCGACAACUUGAAAACAAACCAUAGAGGUACCUUUGUAUUGCAAGAUAAUAAGUUCCCCUGGCUUGAGCGGAUAUCAAUUUUAAUCUAAGAAGUUUGGGGUUAAUGAAUUUGUGAACCCAAAAGAUCAUAACAAACCUAUAAAAGAGAUAAUGGCUGAAAUGACCAAUGGAGGAGUGGAUCAUUCUGUUGAAUGUACCGGCAGCAUCUAAACUAUGAUCUCAGCAUUUCUAGUUCUAUUCUAAUCCCGCCACUUUCAUUCCCUGGAUUCCAUUCACAAGUAAAGACACCACUGAAGACUUGGCUGUUUCCACCAAGUGAUGCUUCCCAUUCUAUGGAGUUCAACACUAUCUGUGACAGUGCUCCAACCAAGUCCCUCAUUUCAGGCCUUUCUACUGGAUCUUCUUGCAAGCACCGACCUGCUAUCUCUGCUACCUUGAGCACAUAUUCAAUGGGAUAGUUUGCUUCAAGUACCUCUGCAAUCGAAUCAGUUGAAGAUGGAGCUCUGAAGGGAGUACAGAAAUGGUGUGACUAGUAGCAAAUAGCCUAGUAUUGUAUAUAGCAGUGAUUUGAGGAGCCUCAUCAUUUGGAAACUUGGAAUUUCUUGUGGAAACUUGGAAUUUCUUCAACCAGCAAGGAAGAAGAAUUGGUAUGAUAUUUUUAUAUAAAAUAUUGGUGUUACUACUUACUAUGUAUACCUACAGUGGGCACUCAAUCAAUGAGGUGAUUGAGUCUGAGUGAACAAGUUACUCCAAUUCUAUUGUGAUCCGUUGUUUCCAGCAAUGGUGUAGCACCAAGUUGAUAGGUUUUAUUUUGAUUAUUUUGAAUAUUUUGUAUUAUUAGUGGAUUGCAAUUUAAACAAAUAUAAGUAUAAUUUUAGUUAUUUAUCU